rnacentral:rRNA from 1 species
UACGUAGGGGGCGAGCGUUGUCCGGAUUUAUUGGGCGUAAAGAGCUCGUAGGUGGCCAACUAAGUCAGACGUGAAAUCCCUCGGCUUAACCGGGGAACUGCGUCUGAUACUGGAUGGCUUGAGUUUGGGAGAGGGAUGCGGAAUUCCAGGUGUAGCGGUGAAAUGCGUAGAUAUCUGGAGGAACACCGGUGGCGAAGGCGGCAUCCUGGACCAACACUGACACUGAGGAGCGAAAGCCAGGGGAGCAAACGGG